rnacentral:lncRNA from 1 species
GGGAGGACCUGAGCAGAAUGUUUCCAGAUUCAGAAGUCCAGUUAACUCCGGCCUUCAUUGGAGGUGGACGGGUUUGACCCAAUGACUGUCUUCGAGUAGCAAUUGACAUGUUGGCCAACUUGUUGGCUGUUUCUGAAACACCACGAGCAGUUCUGCCCUUGUUUAUAGAAGCUGCAAUAAAAAAAAACUUAAACAUUGAGCUUAUUUUCAAAGCAUAGAAGCAACUAUCUAACACGCCUUUGGCAGUGAGAAGUUGCAUAGCUGCUUCAUGAACUUUUGUUCAAAAUAUUUAUCUUGAACGAAAAACAACCACUUGAAAUGAUUAUGCAUGACAAUUGGCUUAAAUUGACUGAAUGACUACUAGGAUCAUUAUAAGCAUUCAUGUAUUUUUAUUGCAUACCCCCACAAAUACAUUUAGAUUCCUUUAUUAAUUUAAUUCACCCACAUUUUUCAGUAACGGCAAUAAAAGUAAAUAUACAAUAAUAAUUAACCAUCAACAUAAGUGCUUACUCGGACUGUCUUUUCCUGGCGGUCGAUAUUUUGAUGGUUGAGUAGUCUUCACUGUUUUCUUAUUUUUAGUUCCAU